CCUCGGAGGUUAUGAAUCUUUACCUAUAGAUAGAGUUGUAAGCUUCGGUAAAAUUCUUAUCUUCUUCCCCAAAAACUGUGAUAAAUCUUUUGCUUCUAAGAGAUUUUAAAGCUCAUUGGCACUGUAACAUUUUUGAAGACCCAAGGUUUUCAUCACCAUCUCUACAAAAACCAUCAUCAUGUGAUAUGGAACUCUGGACAUUAUUAUCCUCUUUUUCUCAGAAACACAUUGCUGGUGUUGAAGAAGAAGAUAGAAUCUGGAGAAGAAGAUCUGAGCAAAAGAAACAUUCACAAAGAGGGCUAUAUGAGGAAGGCUAUAAUUGACUUUUAGAAAAAGUUUGUUAACUCUUUCUCUUUCUCUCCGCUUACUCACCUUAAGAUUUUUCUGACUAAGCGAAGGGAAAUUUAUCAGAGAAUUCCAAGGUGUGCCUUUCUUUAACAAGUUAGUCCUUCAAAAAUUGUGUUCAUUAAAUCCUGAUGAAAAGGGAGUGAUGUUUUUGUUUGAUUGAUAUUCAAUUGGACGAUUAUAUCAUCCAAGUUCAAAGAUAAAAGCCACAAGGCAGUGUAGAAGAAGGUUUGUGAAUUGUCGUCGGUGUGAGUAUGACAUCUACUUCGACAGAGAAGAGAGCUUUGUGGCGAAGAUGUUUUCCCUUGCAUCCAUCUUCACUGAGAAGAAAUCUAGGAAAAUAGAGAGAUGACAAAAUCACUUCUCAGAUAGUUUUAAAAUAUGCACUUGGAUCACAUCCAAGUCUGAUAAUAAAAAAAAAAUUGAGUUUGGAAUUUAGUGUUUGAAUGUGCUUUGUUAACAGAUAAAGGUUUGUAUGAAACAACGAUCUCAUAUAUGGGAAUUGGAUAGAUCAGCAAUCUUUUCA